rnacentral:rRNA from 1 species
GACGUAGGAGGCGAGCGUUGUCCGGAUUUACUGGGCGUAAAGGGCUUGUAGGCGGUCCGUUAAGUCCGAUGUGAAAUCUCCCGGCUCAACUGGGAGAGGUCAUUGGAUACUGGCGGACUAGAGGGGGGUAGAGGAAAGCAGAAUUCCUGGUGUAGCGGUGAAAUGCGUAGAUAUCAGGAGGAAUACCAGUGGCGAAGGCAGCUCGCUGGGACGUGACUGACGCUGAGACGCGAAAGCGUGGGGAGCAAACAGG